rnacentral:rRNA from 1 species
AGUGAACGCUGGCGGCGUGCCUAAUACAUGCAAGUCGAACGUGAAAGUCCUUCGGGAUGAGUAAAGUGGCGCACGGGUGAGUAAUGGUUGAGAACGUGCCCUGAGGUGGGGAAUAACAGUUGGAAACGACUGCUAAUACCGCAUGGUGUCGCAAGACUAAAGGUGGGGAUCUUCGGACCUACCGCCACAGGAUCGGCUCAACUCCCAUUAGCUAGUUGGUGAGGUAACGGCUCACCAAGGCGACGAUGCGUAGCCGACCUGAGAGGGUGAUCGGCCACACUGGGACUGAGACACGGCCCAGACUCCUACGGGAGGCAGCAGUAGGGAAUCUUCCACAAUGGGCGAAAGCCUGAUGGAGCAACGCCGCGUGAGUGAAGAAGGUUUUCGGAUCGUAAAACUCUGUUGUAAGGGAAGAACAAGUACAGUAGUAACUGGCUGUACCUUGACGGUACCUUAUUAGAAAGCCACGGCUAACUACGUGCCAGCCGCCGCCGUAA